GCCCGGAUGGCGGAACUGGUAUACGCGUAGCCUUGAGGUGGCUAUGCCCGCAAGGGCUUGGAGGUUCGAGUCCUCUUCCGGGCA
rnacentral:tRNA from 1 species